AGUGAACGCUGGCGGUAGGCCUAACACAUGCAAGUCGAACGGCAGCACAGUAAGAGCUUGCUCUUACGGGUGGCGAGUGGCGGACGGGUGAGGAAUACAUCGGAAUCUACUUUUUCGUGGGGGAUAACGUAGGGAAACUUACGCUAAUACCGCAUACGACCUACGGGUGAAAGCAGGGGAUCUUCGGACCUUGCGCGAUUGAAUGAGCCGAUGUCGGAUUAGCUAGUUGGCGGGGUAAAGGCCCACCAAGGCGACGAUCCGUAGCUGGUCUGAGAGGAUGAUCAGCCACACUGGAACUGAGACACGGUCCAGACUCCUACGGGAGGCAGCAGUGGGGAAUAUUGGACAGUGGGCGCAAGCCUGAUCCAGCCAUACCGCGUGGGUGAAGAAGGCCUUCGGGUUGUAAAGCCCUUUUGUUGGGAAAGAAAAGCAGCAGGUUAAUACCCCGCUGCUCUGACGGUACCCAAAGAAUAAGCACCGGCUAACUUCGUG
rnacentral:rRNA from 1 species